GCCCGGUUAGCUCAGUCUACCGACUGCACCAGACUCUUAAUCUGGUUGUCGUGGGUUCGAGUCCCGCAUUGGGCU
ensembl:tRNA